rnacentral:rRNA from 1 species
UACGGAGGGGGCUAGCGUUGUUCGGAAUUACUGGGCGUAAAGCGCACGUAGGCGGACGCUUAAGUCAGGGGUGAAAUCCCGGGGCUCAACCCCGGAACUGCCUUUGAUACUGGGUGUCUGGAGGUCGAGAGAGGUGAGUGGAAUUCCGAGUGUAGAGGUGAAAUUCGUAGAUAUUCGGAGGAACACCAGUGGCGAAGGCGGCUCACUGGCUCGAUACUGACGCUGAGACGCGAAAGCGUGGGGAGCGAACAGG